GAUGAACGCUGGCGGCGUACCUAACGCAUGCAAGUCGAACGGUAACAGGUAGCAAUACGCUGACGAGUGGCGCACGGGUGAGUAACACGUACACAACCUGCCUAUGACUGGGGCAUAACUUCGGGAAACUGAAGCUAAUUCCCCAUAACACUGCAGAAAGGCAUCUUUCAGCAGUUAAAGCCCCGGCGGUCAUAGAUGGGUGUGCGUUUGAUUAGCUAGUUGGUAAGGUAACGGCUUACCAAGGCUACGAUCAAUAACUGGUCUGAGAGGAUGAUCAGUCACACGGGCACUGAGACACGGGCCCGACUCCUACGGGAGGCAGCAGUAGGGAAUAUUGGACAAUGGAGGCAACUCUGAUCCAGCCAUCCCGCGUGAAGGAUUAAGGCCCUAUGGGUUGUAAACUUCUUUUCUCUGGGAAUAAAAACUGGGAUUCAUCCUGGCUUGAAGGUACCAGAGGAAUAAGCACCGGCUAACUCCGUGCCAGCCGCCGCGGUAAUAC
rnacentral:rRNA from 1 species